AAAAUGUGAUCAUAAAUCUAUAGAAAGUAUACUUUUUGAAUUCAUUAUAUGUGAUCUACCUUACAAAGUUAGUUUAAAUAUUUACUAUAGCCUAAGGUUUCAUAUCACGUGUAUAUAUAUAGGAACCUAAGCAUUGGUAAAUGAAAAGUAAAAACAACCCAAUUUUUUAUAUAAUAUAGUAAAUAAAAUAUAAUAUAGCCUAUAUAUAUAUCACUAGUAAAAUAUUAUUAUAUAAAUGUAACUCCAGUCAUUUUACUAUUUAGGGAUUUGCGUAUAUGACAUCAAUGUAAGUGAUUCAUUUGAUAGUUAAAAAUAAAAAAUACAAUGAGUCAAUGUAAAAAAAAAAUCUUUAUGAACAAUCAUGAUAACAUAGAAAUAUAUAUUAAAAUUUUUAAAAAUAUAUCAUACCAUUUAGAAACAACAAAAAAUAUAUAUAAUAAAGUGGAAAGAAAUGCAUGCGCGAUGUGCGAGUCAAAGCUCUAGUAAAAUUUUAAAAUAUCAAGUGCAAACAAUAAAUAAGAAAUAUAAAUGGUCAAAUGCCACGAAAUUAUAGUCACACAUUACAAAUGGUUAAAUAAAAAAAAACUGGAAAUUCAAAAAAGAAGAUUAGGAAAAACAUAUAACAAUACAUUGCAAAUGAAUACAUUUUGAAACUUAAACUCGCAAGAAUAUUUGCUUUUAUUAUAACAAUGACUUAAAAUUUGAAUACCUUAUUGAAUUUUAUAUGUAUAGAGUAAGAUAUAGUUGCCCUGUUAAAAAAAGAUAUAGAAUGCCACUGAAAUGAUUUUAAUUAUAGAGUUUAAAAGAAAAAUAAUGUAUCAUUAGCAAUGCAUGCUCCGUAUGGUUUUUUUUUUUUUUUUUGAUAAAGGGCUUUUAUAUAUAUAACUCCGUAUGGUUCACUUUACCAAUUUGUUAUUUGUCCUUAAUGUUAUGUAAUACCCGCACCGGAGACACAUCUUAGACAAUCAGAUCACAUUACAAAAAUGUGACAAAAAACUCAUUCUUGAAUCUUGAGAACAAUAAACAUUUACGCGACGGUUCUACUUUAAAUUCAUUAUUAGUCAUGCGUCAUGUCACCAAACUCACCUAACUAUACCAUUUUGUUCUCUUCUCAAAAGGUUCACUUGUUCUUAUACCUGAGCCUAUAUGGUCGACAUUUAAACCCCCAAGAUCAAGGAGGGCUAACCUCUAAUUCCACUACAAGGCCGAAGUGACAUAUGCCACUUGGUGAAAACAUUUUUAUUUUCUUUUCUGGGCUCAUAUUCAACUUAACGAGCAUCCCAAACGUUAUAAUGGUAUAGUUUUUUUUUUUUUUUUUUUUUUUUUUUGAAUUAUACAGAGAUAUCCUGGCGCCACAGAAGUGAUCCAGACUAGUCACGUGUUAUAAUGGCAUAGUUUAUUAACCUCUAGUACAUAUUUCACCUAAUCUAGGGCAAUAUAUAUAUAUGAUUUAGAAAUAAUGAGUCUUUAGUGAUUCUAUUGACCACUUUGUUUCUCUCUCGAUUAUGUAAACUUUUUCGGCAUUCAGAAUGUUGAUAUAUGAAUAUAUCUGAUUCAAACACAAAAUAGCUAGCACAACAUCUCAACUGAUUAAUUAAAAAGACAAUCUUGAGGUUGAAACAAUUAGCUGAUAAACGAAAAGCUUAAAGCAGAAAAUAAAUGUAUAUCAUAAUAUAAUUACGAAAAAUCCAACUGAUGGAAAACCAAAAGAAAGUUCGUGUUAAAAUUGAGAUUUAGUAAAAUAGGUUUACUAAU
rnacentral:lncRNA from 1 species